rnacentral:lncRNA from 1 species
CUGGCAGUGAGAAUUUCAAGCCAGUGGAUCUUAGCUUGCUGGGCUCCGUGGGGGUGGGAUCCGCUGAGCUAAACCACUUGGCUCCCUUGCUUCAGCCCCUUUUCCAGGGGAGUGAACGGUUCUGUCUUGCUGGCGUUGCAGGCACCACUGGGGUAUGAAAAAAAAUCCUGCAGCUAGCUUGGUGUCUGCACAAAUGGCCGUCCAGUUUUGUACUUGAAACCCACGGCCCUGGUGGCGUAGGCACCCGAGGGAAUCUCCUGGUCUGCAGGUUGCAGAGACCGUGGGAAAAGCGUAGUAUCAGGGCCAGAGUGCACCGUUCCUCAUGGCACAGUUCCUCACGGCUUACCUUGGCUAGGGGAGCGAGUUCCUGGACUCCAUGUGCUUCCUGGGUAACGCAAUGCCCCACCCUCCAUGGGCUGGAUCCGCUGUGUAACCAGUCCCAGUAAGAUGAGUAGGGUACCUUAGUUGGAAAUGCAGAAAUCACCCACCUUCCGUGUUGAUCUUGCUGGGACCUGCACCCCAGAGCUGUUCUAUUUGGCCAUCUUCAAGCCAGGCUCUAAUUUUUGUAUUUUUAGUAAAGACGGGGUUUUACCAUGUUGGCCAGGCUGUUCUCGAACUCCUCACCUCCGGUUACAUUAUUCUUGUAUAGAGUUGUCAGCCAAGAUAGUAACCAGAGAUGUUUUGUUUGUUGAAAAGUACAUCUUAAGCUGGGCAUUCCAUCAAUAAUAGACUAUUUUCUGGAGAUGUUAAAAAUCACUGUUAUGAUAGAUCUGUCAUGAUAAUAUUUAGACGCUGUGACUCUUCAGAACAACAGUGAAGAAAGAAGAUGUGAUGUGAUGAUUACAGCAGUAAUGACUCUGAGCAUCAGAUUUAGUGAUCUCCCUAAGAUACAACACAACAGUGCCUAGCCUGGAAGCCACAAAGGACUUCAAAUAACACAGAGAAGUGACCCACCAGAAUUACCUGGGAAGCUUUUAAUAAGUUGUGGAUGUUGCUUGAGAAUCUGUGCUUUUGUUAUGCAGUGUUCUUGCAGAGAUUAUUUCCACUUGCCUGCCGUGCAUAGUUUUGAAAAAAGCCAAACUAGAUUGUGAGCUCCCUGAGAGCAGGGACAUACUCCUUUCCCUCAAAAUUAUGGCCUUUGUGUCUCGUAUACCUUCUGACAGAUAUUAGGCACUGAAUAAAUUUUUGUUAAAUGAA